AAGUUUUUAAUCUCCACUGUCGGAGCUCCAAUUGUCCGUGGAUUUUGUUCAUCGAGUUUGGUGGUGAUGGUCCUCAGUCCUCUGGUGCUGGCAUGAGCCUGAAUGGAAGACCGGAAGAGCCGUCGGAGCAAGAAUCAAAGUAGCCGGAGCUCAUAUAGUUUUGCCGGUGGAAGUCGUGAGUUCUCCCGAUCCCUUCUCUUGCCUCCACCGUUCUCCACCGUCGCUCUUCUCGUUACCGCUCUCUUCCUUCUUCUUGUUCAAUCCAUCUCCUUCCUCUACCGUCUUCUCCAUCAAACUCCAUCCUUGGUAAUUCACCAAUUAGGGUUCCGAAUUGAAACGAAGCGAAGGAUUGGAAUGAGGAA
rnacentral:lncRNA from 1 species